rnacentral:rRNA from 1 species
GAUGAACGCUGGCGGCGUGCCUAAUACAUGCAAGUCGAGCGAACGGACGAGAAGCUUGCUUCUCUGAUGUUAGCGGCGGACGGGUGAGUAACACGUGGAUAACCUACCUAUAAGACUGGGAUAACUUCGGGAAACCGGAGCUAAUACCGGAUAAUAUUUUGAACCGCAUGGUUCAAAAGUGAAAGACGGUCUUGCUGUCACUUAUAGAUGGAUCCGCGCUGCAUUAGCUAGUUGGUAAGGUAACGGCUUACCAAGGCAACGAUGCAUAGCCGACCUGAGAGGGUGAUCGGCCACACUGGAACUGGGACACGGUCCAGACUCCUACGGGAGGCAGCAGUAGGGAAUCUUCCGCAAUGGGCGGAAGCCUGACGGAGCAACGCCGCGUGAGUGAUGAAGGUCUUCGGAUCGUAAAACUCUGUUAUUAGGGAAGAACAUAUGUGUAAGUAACUGUGCACAUCUUGACGGUACCUAAUCAGAAAGCCACGGCUAACUACGUG